rfam:Rhizobium sp. Root149 contig_10, whole genome shotgun sequence.
AGUCAAGAGUCUAGGGCGCCAAUUUGGUGAGCAAUUUUCUUUUGCCUUAUUGAAGGCUGAGAUAAUG